GUGUCUGUGUUGGAGGUGCCUGUGUUGGAGGUGUGUGUCUGUGUUAGAGGUGUCUGUGUUGGAGGUGUCUGUGUUGGAGGUGUCUGUGUUGGAGGUGUGUGUCUGUGUUGGAGGUGUGUGUCUGUGUUGGAGGUAUCAGUGUUGGAGGUGUCUGUGUUGGAGGUGUCUGUGUUGGAGGUGUCUGUGUUGGAGGUGUCUGUGUGAUGUGUGUCUGUGUUGGAGGUGUCUGUGUGGGGUGUGUCUGUGUUGGAGGUAUCUGUGUUGGAGGUGUCUGUGUUGGAGGUAUCUGUGUUGGAGGUGUCUGUGUUGGAGGUAUCUGUGUUGGAGGUGUCUGUGUUGGAGGUGUCUGUGUUGGAGGUAUCUGUGUUGGAGGUGUCUGUGUUGGAGGUAUCUGUGUUGGAGGUGUCUGUGUGGGGUGUGUCUGUGUUGGAGGUAUCUGUGUUGGAGGUGUCUGUGUGAUGUGUGUCUGUGUUGGAGGUAUCUGUGUGGGGUGUGUCUGUGUUGGAGGUAUCUGUGUUGGAGGUGUCUGUGUUGGAGGUAUCUGUGUUGGAGGUGUCUGUGUUGGAGGUGUCUGUGUUGGAGGUAUCUGUGUUGGAGGUGUCUGUGUUGGUGGUAUCUGUGUUGGAGGUAUCUGUGUUGGAGGUGUGUGUCUGUGUUAGAGGUAUCUGUGUUGGAGGUGUCUGUGUUGGAGGUAUCUGUGUUGGAGGUGUCUGUGUUGGAGGUAUCUGUGUUGGAGGUAUCUGUGUUGGAGGUGUCUGUGUUGGAGGUAUCUGUGUUGGAGGUAUCUGUGUUGGAGGUGUCUGUGUUGGAGGUAUCUGUGUUGGAGGUAUCUGUGUUGGAGGUGUGUGUCUGUGUUGGAGGUAUCUGUGUUGGAGGUGUCUGUGUUGGAGGUGUCUGUGUUGGAGGUGUCUGUGUGAUGUGUGUCUGUGUUGGAGGUGUCUGUGUUGGAGGUGUCUGUGUUGGAGGUAUCUGUGUUGGAGGUAUCUGUGUUGGAGGUGUCUGUGUUGGAGGUAUCUGUGUUGGAGGUAUCUGUGUUGGAGGUGUGUGUCUGUGUUGGAGGUAUCUGUGUUGGAGGUGUCUGUGUUGGAGGUGUCUGUGUGGGGUGUAUCUUUGUUCAAAUCAAAUCAAAUGUAUUUAUAUAGCCCUUCUUACAUCAGCUGAUAUCUCAAAGUGCUGUACAGAAACCCAGCCUAAAACCCCAAACAGCAAGCAAUGCAGGUGUAGAAGCACGGUGGCUAGGAAAAACUCCCUAGAAAGGCCAAAACCUAGGAAGAAACCUAGAGAGGAACCAGGCUAUGAGGGGUGGCCAGUCCUCUUCUGGCUGUGCCUGGUGGAGAUUAUAACAGCACAUGGCCAAGAUGUUCAAAUGUUCAUAAAUGACCAGCAUGGUCAAAUAAUAAUAAUCAUUGUAGUUGUCGAGGGUGCAACAAGUCAGU
rnacentral:lncRNA from 1 species